AUGAAAAGUUUCUACGAUAUUAUCGAAAUCGACGAGAUUGCCACGUUUGACGACGUUAAAAAAGCAUAUUUUCGAUUUUUGAGAAAGGAGCAUCCCGACAAAAAUCCCGAAAAAUUUGGAUCAAAUACGGAGGUACUGAAGGCGGUUGCACAGAUUUGGGAGCAGGUUAAGGACAAUCGUCCAAUCUACGACAGUUGGCUCCGCGAGCAACGUCUCCGUGAAACACAGGGAACUAUCGGCGAAACGAUUGAAUUGGAAUACGGAGAACGUGACGUUGACGAAUAUUGUCGGUGUGGAGCUGAAUUUAAUUUGACACCUGAAGAGAUCGACCAAAUCCUCGACACGGGAAUCUUCGAGUGCUCCUCGUGCUCCCUCUGUCUCGAAAUCCGUCGCUCCUCCACCACCACCACCACCCCCGCCACCCACUCAAAAAAAUGAGCUCCCUCGACGAAUCCUCCACAAAAAUCCUCGUCCUGGGCGACUCGUGCGUCGGCAAGACCUCCCUGUGUCACUGUAUCGCCGGCGGUGGUGAGCCGCCCGGCGGCGGCCGAUCUUUCGACUCAACCAUCGGAGCAACCGUCGUCAUGGCAUGGCACGAGUAUCGAGCCGGCACCCCGGAGCAACGUACCGAGCUUCUCGAGCUAUGGGAUAUUGGUGGAAUGGUGGCUCAUCGACAGGCGGCUCAAGUGUUUUUUGAGGGAGCCGUUGGCGCAAUUCUCGUGCACGAUUUGACGAAUAAACGGAGCGAGGAGAACCUCGCCACGUGGCUUACGAUGCUUGACGGGAAGCCUCGGGGAGCAGCUCCGAAGAGCUCCAAGGAUCCGGCCGCCGUCGCGUUGAAAGUCGAUAUUGAGAGUUGCAAUAUUCCUGUGUUGAUUGUGGGAACGAAAGCCGACUUGGUGCCGCAUAAGGGGCCUGUUAGCUAUGAUAGACUGCACAUCGACUCGCUCAAAAUAAUCCUCCGAGGCUCUGCCAACUCCAUCACCCUCUCCAGAUUCUUCGACUCUUGCCUCGACCGUACCCGCCGAACUUCUCUCAACUCGUCCUCGUCGUCAUUCUUCACAAAACCUCGCUCAAUGACUCCGAACCUUCCCGGAGCCUCAGCAUCGGCGGCAGCGGCGGCGGCAAACGUCACGAAUCGGACGAUGAGCCCGUACACAUCGGUUUUGAUGGGAUCUUAA